rnacentral:rRNA from 1 species
GAUGAACGCUGGCGGCGUGCCCAAUACAUGCAAGUCGAGCGAACGGACGAGAAGCUUGCUUCUCUGAUGUUAGCGGCGGACGGGUGAGUAACACGUGGAUAACCUACCUAUAAGACUGGGAUAACUUCGGGAAACCGGAGCUAAUACCGGAUAAUAUUUUGAACCGCAUGGUUCAAAAGUGAAAGACGGUCUUGCUGUCACUUAUAGAUGGAUCCGCGCUGCAUUAGCUAGUUGGUAAGGCAACGGCUUACCAAGGCAACGAUGCAUAGCCGACCUGAGAGGGUGAUCGGCCACACUGGAACUGAGACACGGUCCAGACUCCUACGGGAGGCAGCAGUAGGGAAUCUUCCGCAAUGGGCGAAAGCCUGACGGAGCAACGCCGCGUGAGUGAUGAAGGUCUUCGGAUCGUAAAACUCUGUUAUUAGGGAAGAACAUAUGUGUAAGUAACUGUGCACAUCUUGACGGUACCUAAUCAGAAAGCCACGGCUAACUACGUGCCAGCAGCCGCGGUAAUACGUAGGUGGCAAGCGUUAUCCGGAAUUAUUGGGCGUAAAGCGCGCGUAGGCGGUUUUUUAAGUCUGAUGUGAAAGCCCACGGCUCAACCGUGGAGGGUCAUUGGAAACUGGAAAACUUGAGUGCAGAAGAGGAAAGUGGAAUUCCAUGUGUAGCGGUGAAAUGCGCAGAGAUAUGGAGGAACACCAGUGGCGAAGGCGACUUUCUGGUCUGUAACUGACGCUGAUGUGCGAAAGCGUGGGGAUCAAACAGGAUUAGAUACCCUGGUAGUCCACGCCGUAAACGAUGAGUGCUAAGUGUUAGGGGGUUUCCGCCCCUUAGUGCUGCAGCUAACGCAUUAAGCACUCCGCCUGGGGAGUACGACCGCAAGGUUGAAACUCAAAGGAAUUGACGGGGACCCGCACAAGCGGUGGAGCAUGUGGUUUAAUUCGAAGCAACGCGAAGAACCUUACCAAAUCUUGACAUCCUUUGACAACUCUAGAGAUAGAGCCUUCCCCUUCGGGGGACAAAGUGACAGGUGGUGCAUGGUUGUCGUCAGCUCGUGUCGUGAGAUGUUGGGUUAAGUCCCGCAACGAGCGCAACCCUUAAGCUUAGUUGCCAUCAUUAAGUUGGGCACUCUAAGUUGACUGCCGGUGACAAACCGGAGGAAGGUGGGGAUGACGUCAAAUCAUCAUGCCCCUUAUGAUUUGGGCUACACACGUGCUACAAUGGACAAUACAAAGGGCAGCGAAACCGCGAGGUCAAGCAAAUCCCAUAAAGUUGUUCUCAGUUCGGAUUGUAGUCUGCAACUCGACUACAUGAAGCUGGAAUCGCUAGUAAUCGUAGAUCAGCAUGCUACGGUGAAUACGUUCCCGGGUCU